AUUGAACGCUGGCGGCAGGCUUAACACAUGCAAGUCGAGCGGGGUGAUGGUGCUUGCACUAUCACUUAGCGGCGGACGGGUGAGUAAUGCUUAGGAAUCUGCCUAUUAGUGGGGGACAACAUCUCGAAAGGGAUGCUAAUACCGCAUACGUCCUACGGGAGAAAGCAGGGGAUCACUUGUGACCUUGCGCUAAUAGAUGAGCCGAAGUCGGAUUAGCUAGUUGGUGGGGUAAAGGCCUACCAAGGCGACGAUCUGUAGCGGGUCUGAGAGGAUGAUCCGCCACACUGGGACUGAGACACGGCCAGACUCCUACGGGAGGCAGCAGUGGGGAGUAUUGGACAAUGGGGGGAACCCUGAUCCAGCCAUGCCGCGUGUGUGAAGAAGGCCUUAUGGUUGUAAAGCACUUUAAGCGAGGAGGAGGCUCUUUUGGUUAAUACCCAAAAUGAGUGGACGUUACUCGCAGAAUAAGCACCGGCUAACUCUGUGCCAGCAGCCGCAGUAA
rnacentral:rRNA from 1 species